rnacentral:rRNA from 1 species
CACGUAGGGCGCAAGCGUUGUCCGGAAUCACUGGGCGUAAAGGGCGCGUAGGCGGCCCUCUUAGUCGCGUGUGAAAGCCCCGGGCUCAACCUGGGAACGGCGCGCGAAACGGGAGGGCUGGAGUUCGGGAGAGGAGAGUGGAAUUCCCAGUGUAGAGGUGAAAUUCGUAGAUAUUGGGAAGAACACCGGUGGCGAAGGCGGCUCUCUGGACCGAGACUGACGCUGAGGCGCGAAAGCGUGGGGAGCAAACAGG